rnacentral:lncRNA from 1 species
GAAAGAAAAAAAAAAGGGUGGGGGAGAGGAGAGAAAGGAGAGAAGGGGAGAGGGAAGAAAAGAGAGAGAGGAGAGGAGGGAGCCCCGGCAGGGGGCCAGUCACCGGAUGGCCACCGGAGCCUCGUCGGCGCCGGCCACCGUGCACGGUGGCCGGAGAGGUAAAAAAAAUUCCUUUUUUUAUUUUUUAUUUCUUGUAUUUUUUAUAAUAUACUUUCAUACAUUUAACAUAUUUAAUAUAUGUAUUUGUGAGAAUAUAAACAAAAAUGAAAAUAAAUCUAGAACCACCUCUUGUUUUCGAUUUGCAAUCUUGGUGUUUUGUGCGCCGAUUUGGUGGUUGUUUUUUUUUUGUGUUGAUAUCUAUUUCGGACUGGUAUUCUUGCUAUAUCUACUGACUUUUUUGAAAUAUAUGUGUACUCAAAAGAUCUAAAAAUAAAGAACCUCUUUUACAGAAAGCCAAAUAGGCUUUUAUAGCCUUUACAAAAUUGUAUUUAAUAUUUAUUGUCUUGUCUUCUUUCUGGUCCUGCAGGGAAUGGGUGAAGGUGACAGAGGCAUGGUGGUACAGAGGAGCAGGUGGCCGACAUGGUGGCAUGGAGAGCUAGGGUGCCAGGGUAUGGGGCUGAUGGCUGGUGUCAGAACAAGUGGAAUUAGGGUUUCCUCUCUGCUGAUUUGUUUUGGGCUGCUGGGCUAGGUUAAUUUAGGGUAUUGGGCUAGUAGUACUUGGGUUAGGCUAAUUGGGCUGAAAAUAUUGUAAACAGGCUUGGGUUAGUAAGGGUUUGAAAUGUAUUUGGGUUUGGCAAAAUUGGGUAUGUACAGCUGCCCCUCUUUGCUCAUUGUCGUGCAACGGUAAUGGAGCAAAGACACGAUGAAAGGCCAAUUUUGCCCAGUCUUGCUGAGUCUUGACUUCGUUGGUGCUCUUCUUGUUCAGAUAGCCUUGGUUCAUUGCAUCUUCUGAUAUAAGCCUUGUAGUUUAAAUCUACUCCAAUGCGACUUCAAAGAUAUGUGAUUUGUAGCUUUGAUCUGCUUCCAUGUAGCUUCAUAAAGAUAAGAUCUACAGCUUCAAUCUGCUCUUUUAUCACUUCAGUGAGAUGAGAUUCGUGAUCUUCUCUUCUGUAACUCUAGCGAGACAAGAUUUGAUAUCCUAGGUCAGUUCCACUACGACCUCAGGGAGACAAGACUUGCAACUUUUGACCUGCUCCACUGUAACUUCAGGGAGACCAAGUCUGGUGUCUUUCAUCAGCUUCAAUCUUUAUUCUUACUCGGCAUGUGAUCUUGAGCCCAA